rnacentral:lncRNA from 1 species
AAGUUUUCCUGAAAUUUCAAGAAGUAUUUCAGAUCUCUAUCUUGAUGGAACUGCGAUUGAAGAAGUUCCUUGGUGGAUAGAGAACAUCUCUGGGCUCUCUUACCUAUCGAUGAAUGGUUGCAACAAGUUAAGGAAGAUCUCCCCAAACAUAUCUAAACUGAAACAUCUCGUGGAGGUAGACUUUUCAGAAUGCAAAGCACUUACUGAAGAUAGCUGGCAAAAUUAUCAUGGGGAGAUCUCUACUUCUCUUAUGAAAGUAAACCUGUCUGGUAACAGUUUUGAGAGACUUCCCGACACAUGGACUUCCAUUCAACCAAAAGAUCUUGACCUCGGUAAUUGUAUAAAUAUCGUGU